UUUUGAUGGAUGGUUUCGAAUUCCGUAUGUGCCGCAGUGAGAUCGUCUAUAAGCUGAUUAACAUCCAGUUCUUGAGAGCCUUCGUUAGCCAUAGGAGGUGGGAUUGGAUUGAAAGCACCAAUGUAAAGAAAGAGAGAUCGAGAAUUCCGACGAUAGCCGGAGAGUCGCCAAACAACAAAUUAAAGAAAGAAAGUGAUUACAAUAAAACUUGUUAUCCUUCUACUGAACUUCAUAUAACGUAUUUAUAGGGUUGCCAUGUUCUAGUCUUAGACCUCACAGACGACUAUGGGCCGCUAAUCCAGAUCUAUGUUAUUAGUGGUGAUAUAAUUACUAAAUUACGAGCCAUUAAUUUUCAAUUAUGGAAUUAGUGGAGGUGGAGGGCUUACCAAUAAUAAACGAAAACUAAAAGAGGAAUAUUGGAAAAAUGUAGGGAUCUUUAAGCAAAAUACAAAAAAACAAGAAAUGUUGUAGAUCUUUGAAUAUAUAAGGGUUAAUCAGAAAUUUCCCAUAGUUAAUGAGGAAUCCUUGGUAGGCUUGAGGUAGUAACAAGGAUCGUAAAUGAAGAAAUAUCCAUGAUUCCGAUAAUAGAUAUUAAUUCUUUCAGCUGUGUUGAUAAAUGGAAAUCCAAAGGUAAUAAAGAAGAGGAAACAACGUCAAGAAGAGACGAAUGUGUGGAAAGAGAGAGAGAGAGAGAGUUCUCCAUAUGAUACCUCGAAGGUAAAAGAAACAAUCCAUGUCAAGGACUCUGAGUUUUGUCACAGAAGCUGUUUGAGCUACUAGGAUUUUAUUUUGCCCUAAUUUUGCUUUAAUAAUGGGUUUCAAUUUUGCCCUAAUUUUGCUCAAAUAUCGGGUUUUGAUUUUGCCAUAAUUUUUCAUUUUGGGUCUAGGUUCCUGUAAAUACGACUUUUAUCGACAUUUUCCCAAAAUCCACACUAUUAUUAUUACUCAUUCUAUUAAUUUGAUCGGACAUUAAGACAGUUUAAGCACUUCAGAUUGUAAUCUAUGAAAGAGAAUUUUUCAUAAGUGGCUAAACUGAAAAAACCAAGCAAAGUUAAAGGAUAAUGAUUGUUGUGUCAAAACUCAAAAGUUAUAAUGUCUGAAUUGAAGACUUGUUUUUUCAAAUUAUCAUGUACCAAACGUGCGAAUGUUUGAUUCUAAAUUUUUUAGUUCUACUGCACAGUUGGAACAAUGGCAUGCCGGAAGAGGACUGCUAUAGUAUUUUUUUGGAGAUGGCAUUUUAGCUCAUGUGGUAAAUGUAAUUGUUUUAGAGCUAUUUUUCUUCUGGUAUACGCCGACCUUAAACUGUGGUGGGAUCUCUGUCGUAGAUGACGUUUUCCGAGGCACAUAAAAGGACACGUCGUAUUUGAAGUUUAUCUAUUAGUUGGUCACCGAUUAUCUGAAUAAAUAAUAUUCAUUCGAUUGGACUAAAUCCUCACAUGGUAUUAGCAUCACACCUAGAUUUUGUAUCCAUUUUUUAUAUUGCCCAAUUCAUAUUAAGCAUAUGUAGGACAGGAAAGAACACCAUGGUAAUCUAUUUUAAUGUCGUGAUGACACAUACGAUGUUUUUGAAUCAAUCAACAGAGUGUAUAGAAAUAUUGUCACAUUAAAUGCAAUCAUUUGGUAUACUGCAGUAAUUGUUUCUUUGGUGAUCGAGAUAACAAGUUUGAUGAACAGUGAGUUGGAAUUGAAAAGCUGUUUUUUUUAUUUGUUGACAGUUAAAUUUUGGUAGAGGAUUAAGAAUAACCUUCAAUGAUGGUUUAUAGAUUGAUUACUAAAUUAGCAUUAGCAAAUGAUGGGUGUUCCUGAUAACAUGCAGUCAGUAUUGAAAACCUGUUUUUUUCUUUGUUGGUAUUUAAAUUUUGGUAGAGGAUUAAGAAUAACCUUCAAUGAUGGUUUAUAGAUUGAUUACUAAAUUAGCAUUAGCAAAUUAUGGGUUUUCCAGAUACGAUGGCUGUUGGAAUUGGACAAAUUUUAUCUUUAUUGGCAUUUAAAUCUUGCUAGAGAAUUAAAAAUAACCUCCAUGUUAGAUUUUGCAAUACUUAAUAUGUUAUAAACACUGCUAAUUAGGAUAUUAUUUUAUUCAUUCAUUUAUUUAGCUAAUAGUUUAAUACUUUGUUCAUUUAUUUAUGAUUAUAAAUUCUGAUUUCUGAGAUAGAGAAUUAUCAAUUUUUAUGUUAUGAAAUGAUAGUUUAAAUCAUUUGAUUAAUUUACAUUUUUUGAAAAAAUUCUAUUUCCAUUAGAUUAUAUAGAUAAAUUUAUUACAAGAAAUCUAAGAAAAUGAAUUGCAUCAGUUGUCAAAAAAGGACACGAUUUUGAAGCAAAAGAUUUAAUUUCUGAUCCUGUCUCAAUUUUUUUUGAAAAUUCUAAUCAAAGUUCCAAAAUAAUUUCCCGCCUCCUGCGAAGAAACUCCGCUAACCCCCUAACGCAUUCCUGGCCCGCCACUGUAGCUUAUUAUGAUGAUCGCCACCAUGUACAAGCUAGGUUCCUCCUUAGAUUAUGAUGAGGAUAACGAUUUCUAUUUUGAACACGGUUCACAUGAUAAACGCUUAUACCGUCUACCACAAACUGCAAGGAAAACAAUGAAAUGAAAAAUAAACAGAGAUUUGAAUUAAUUUUUACCUAUUAACGUUUUGAUUGAUUUCCAGUACAUCAUCCACCAAUCAUGAAAGGCGAGAAAGAUAGAAACCAAAAAAAUAAACUUACAUGACCGUCUAUCAUGUUUCCAAUUAGCGAUGGACGAGUUCGGUGCGGCAUGAUUUGGACAUGAUUCGGAACACGAUUCAAAUUGAUACCAUCCCUAAUAAACUGCAAGAAAAAUAAUGGAAUUGAGAAAUAAACAAAGAUUUGAUUUGAUUUGGACAUAUCGAUCUUUUGAUUGAUAUCUAGUACAUCAUCCAUCAAUCAUCAAAGGUAGAAAGAUAGAGACCAUAAAAAUAAACAUACAUGCCCGUCUAUCAUGUUUGGAAUUGGCGAUGGACGAGGUCGGGGCGGCAUGAUUUGGACAUAAUUCGGAUUAACAUGGUUCACAUUGAUAUCAUCCAUUAUAAACUGCAGAAAAAUAAUGUAGUUGAGAAAUAAAUAGUGAUUUGAUAUAAUUUGGACAUAAAAAUCUUUUGAUUUAUUUCUACUACAUCAAUCCAUCAAUCAUCAAAGGUAGAAAGAUAGAGACCAAAAAAACAAACUUACAUUCUCGUCUACCAUGUUUGGAACUGGCGAUGGACGAGGUCGGGACGGUAUGAUUUGGUCAUGAUUCGGAACACGAUUCACAUUGAUUCCAUCUGUUAUACACUGCUAGAAAAACAAUGGAGUUGAGAAAUAAACAAAGAUUUGAUUAAUUUUAAAAAAUUUACCUUUUGAUGGAUGGUUUCGAAUUCCGUAUGUGCCGCAGUGAGAUCGUCAAUAAGCUGAUUAACAUCCAGUUCUUGAGAGCCUUCGUUAGCCAUAGGAGGUGGGAUUGGAUUGAAAGCACCAAUGUAAAGAAAGAGAGAUCGAGAAUUCCGACGAUAGCCGGAGAGUCGCCAAACAACAAAUUAAAGAAAGAAAGUGAUUACAAU
rnacentral:lncRNA from 1 species